GGGGAAUAUUGGACAAUGGGGGAAACCCUGAUCCAGCGACGCCGCGUGAGUGAAGAAGUAUUUCGGUAUGUAAAGCUCUAUCAGCAGGGAAGAAAAUGACGGUACCUGACUAAGAAGCCCCGGCUAACUACGUGCCAGCAGCCGCGGUAAUACGUAGGGGGCAAGCGUUAUCCGGAUUUACUGGGUGUAAAGGGAGCGCAGACGGCAAUGCAAGUCUGAAGUGAAAGGCGUGGGCUCAACCCAUGAACUGCUUUGGAAACUGUAUAGCUUGAGUGUCGGAGGGGUAAGCGGAAUUCCUAGUGUAGCGGUGAAAUGCGUAGAUAUUAGGAGGAACACCGGAGGCGAAGGCGGCUUACUGGACGACAACUGACGUUGAGGCUCGAAGGCGUGGGGAGCAAACAGGAUUAGAUACCCUGGUAGUCCACGCAGUAAACGAUGAAUACUUGGUGUCGGGGAGGUAAACUCUUCGGUGCCGCAAGCUAACGCAUUAAGUAUUCCACCUGGGGAGUACGUUCGCAAGAAUG
rnacentral:rRNA from 1 species